AUGCGGUGGUGUAGAGGUUGGGUCAGAAUGACACGUGUUUCGUCAUUAUCAAAGCAGACCCAUCCCCCAUCAACGUCACCUGGCAGAAGGAAAGGCUAGUUUGCAUUUCAAUCGAAGGUUAUGGAGAUCAUUUCGUAAAAGGUGUCAUGCAGUGGUGUAGAGGUUGGGUGAGAACAGUAAGUUUUGCAUCAUUAUCAAGAAGGUAAAAUAACCGCAAGGCUUAAGAGGAGGGGUGAGAAAAAGUCGUAUAAAAGGCGAGAGAAAAGUCGACAGGGAUCAGUCGAGCGAGUAUCUCCGACACGGCAACAGCUGCAUUUCUCUAUUUGCCAUUCAGCUGCAUUCUUCAUCGUAUUAUCAGUUCUCAAUCAUGGUCGUACAUAAGGGCAAGGAAAAGGCGAAAGAAAUCAGUCGAGUGAGCAUCUCGACACGAUAACAGCAACUGCAGUGAACUAUUUGUCACCAACUGUAUUAUUCGUCGAAUUGUUAGUUUAAAUCAUGGCAAAAUAUGGCGUCGUGCUGCAUUUGUGUGUUGCAUCGUUGAUGGCUGGGUCGGCCGCUGGUGUACCGAUGUCUCCUGGGCAUGGCGGAUAACAAAUUGCAACGCCGCCACCUUACUACACAACAUACGACACGACCAGUUGCUACACCGAAGUCCCCGAGUACUGCACCAAGGCUUCAGGUUAUUAUACCACAACUUAUGCUGCCCUGAGCUACUACACCGAAUCCCCGCAGUAUUGUUCUUCCCCGAGCUACACUACCAAAGGGUCGAUUACUACACCGAUGCUCCGAAGUACUGCACAACUACAUAUCAUGGAGAGAAAAAAGGCGAAAGAAAUCAGUCGAGUGGUCAUCUCCGACACGGCAACAGCAGCUGCAGUGCCAAGGCUCAGUAUUACACCACAACUUAUGUUACCCCGAGACUCUGCACCAAAGCGCCUGAGUGCUAUACCGAGGGCACUAAUUUCUACACCACCAAGGCACCGGAGUACUACACUGCAGCAUACGCUGCUCCAGAUUAUUACACCGAGGCUCCCCAACACUACACCACCAAGGCACUGGAGUACUACACCACUACAUAUCAUGUCGUAUGAACGGAGAGAAAAGGUGAAAGAAUUUAGCAGUCGAGUGAGCAUCUCCGUUACAGCAACAGGAACUGCCGUGCACUUUUUGUCAUCAACUUCAUUCUUCGUCCCAUUACAAGUUUAAAUAAUGUAAACUAUGGCGGCGUGCUGCUGUUGGGUGUUGUAUCGUUGAUGGAUGGGUCGACUACUGGUGUACCGAUGUCUUCUGGGUAUGGCGAUUACCAAAGUACAACACUGCUCUGCCGUCUUUCUGGUCUUUCUAUUUAGCAUCAACUUCCGCUGCUCCAGCUUACUACACUGAGGCUCUCAAGUGCUACUCCAUCAAGGCUCCAGUUUAUUACACCACAGCUCAUGUUGCCCUAAGCUACUAAGCAGAAUACCCGAAGUAUUUUUUCCCGAGCUACACUACCAAAGGGUCGAGUACUACGUCGAGGCUCCCAAGUACUACAUUACCAAGGCACCGGAGUACAAAAACGGUCGAUUACUACACAGAAGCAAUCAUAGCAACUAUGGCGUUGUGCUACUGUGAAUGUUUUAACGUUGAUCGCUGGAUGGACCACUGGUGUGCCGAUUUCUCCUGGAUAUGACGGGCAUGAAUAAUCCGUAGCAACCGGUUAUUACACUGGGGCCCCGAAUUACUACACCACCAAGGGUUCAGAGUGUAACAGAAGUAUUUUUCUUCCCAGAACUUCACUACCUUCACCACGCCGAUUACUGAACACCUACUUACCAUUCGAAGGUCUCCAGUGCUACGCCACAAUGACUCCUGACUACUACACCGAAUAUUUAACUUGUCACACCACUGAAGCGCCCAAGUACUGCACUACAACCUACGUUGCUCCAGCUUACACCACGAAGGCAGCGGAGUACUACACCACGAAGGCAGCGGAGUACUACACCACGAAGGCAGCGGAGUACUACACCACGAAGGCAGCGGAGUACUACACCACGAAGGCAGCGGAGUACUACACCACGAAGGCAGCGGAGUACUACACCACCGAGGCACCGGAGUACUACACCAUUAACUACGCUUCCGCAACUUGCUACAUUCUUUUGCUAAUUCUUUUGCAAGAUUUUUGGUAGUAACAUCAAGCCGUCAUCAUUUCGACAGAGGUGACCACUGCCUUAAUCAGUCUGCAUACGGACGUAUUCUUGUGUUUUGACGAUUUCACAAGGAUAGGUUACGAAAGAAACUUGUAACUGUUGAUUUUGAAGUCUUAUAAGUAAAACACAAGUCACAAGUGGAUAAACUUUGUAUAAAUGAAAAACUUGAAGUUGAGAGUAAUACAUUGAAACAAUUCCUAAACA
rnacentral:lncRNA from 1 species